CUUUCCCUCUUUCUUCAUGCCUUACACAUGCAAGUCGAACGGCAGCACGGGUGCUUGCCCCUGGUGGCGAGUGGCGAACGGGUGAGUAAUACAUCGGAACAUGUCCUGUAGUGGGGAAUAGCCCGGCGAAAGCCGGAUUAAUACCGCAUACGAUCUACGGAUGAAAGCGGGGGACCUUCGGGCCUCGCGCUAUAGGGUUGGCCGAUGGCUGAUUAGCUAGUUGGUGGGGUAAAGGCCUACCAAGGCGACGAUCAGUAGCUGGUCUGAGAGGACGACCAGCCACACUGGGACUGAGACACGGCCCAGACUCCUACGGGAGGCAGCAGUGGGGAAUUUUGGACAAUGGGCGAAAGCCUGAUCCAGCAAUGCCGCGUGUGUGAAGAAGGCCUUCGGGUUGUAAAGCACUUUUGUCCGGAAAGAAAUCCUUGGCCCUAAUACGGUCGGGGGAUGACGGUACCGGAAGAAUAAGCACCGGCUAACUACGUG
rnacentral:rRNA from 1 species